rnacentral:rRNA from 1 species
AGCUCCAAUAGCGUAUAUUAAUGUUGUUGCAGUUAAAAGCUCGUAGUUGGAUUUCUGCGCCGCGCAGCUCGGUCCGCCGCAAUGCGGUGCGACUGUGGCUGGAGCGUCGCAUCCUUGUGGAGACCUUUGAUGCCAUUGAUUUGGUGUCUUAUGGGAACCGCAUCGUUUACUGUGAAAAAUUAGAGUGUUCAAAGCAGGCAUACGCCGUGAAUACAUUAGCAUGGAAUAAUAAGAUAGGACUUUGGUUCUAUUUUGUUGGUCGGAGGCCAAGGUAAUGAUUAAUAGGGAUAGUUGGGGGUAUUCAUAUUUAAUUGUCAGAGGUGAAAUUCUUGGAUUUAUGAAAGAUGAACUUAUGCGAAAGCAUUUACCAAGGAUGUUUUCAUUAAUCAAG